rnacentral:rRNA from 1 species
UACGAAGGGGGCUAGCGUUGCUCGGAAUCACUGGGCGUAAAGCGCACGUAGGCGGGUCUUAAGUCGGUGGUGAAAUCCUGGAGCUCAACUCCAGAACUGCCUUCGAUACUGAGAGUCUUGAGUCCGGGAGAGGUGAGUGGAACUGCGAGUGUAGAGGUGAAAUUCGUAGAUAUUCGCAAGAACACCAGUGGCGAAGGCGGCAUCCUGGACCGGCAUUGACGCUGAGGAGCGAAAGCUAGGGGAGCAAACGGG